rnacentral:lncRNA from 10 species
CUUUACUUCUAUUUUUUUAAAGAGUUCAUAAAAGAUUGGAAAUUGACAUUUGAGUCAGUGGACUGGGAGAGGAAGACCCAACCUCAGUCUGAUUGGGCACCAUCCAAUAGGCUGCCAGUAUAUCUAGAACAAGGCAGACAAAUAAGGUGGGACAACUUUGCUUGCUGAGUUUCUGGUUCCCUUUCUUCUUUCCAUGCCAGAUCCUUGCUUCUGCUCCUCUUGCCCUUGGACAUCAGAUUCCAGGUUCUUGGGCCUUUGGACACUGGAACUUGCUCCAGCGGUUUCUUGGGGACUCUCAGGCAUUCAGCCUCAGGCUGGCAGCUGAGUUUUCAGCUUUCCUGGUUUUGAGGCUUUUGGACUUGGAAUAAGCCCCUGCUGGCUUCUCACUUUCCCCAGCUUGCUCGCAGCCUAUCACCUUAUAAUCCUGUGAGCCAAUUCUCCCUAAUAAACUCCCUUUCAUAUACACUUAUAUCCCAUUGGUUUUGUUCUUCUGGAGAACCC